rnacentral:rRNA from 1 species
AUUGAACGCUGGCGGCAGGCCUAACACAUGCAAGUCGAACGAGUGGCGGACGGGUGAGUAAUGUCUGGGAAACUGCCUGAUGGAGGGGGAUAACUACUGGAAACGGUAGCUAAUACCGCAUACCAUCGGAUGUGCCCAGAUGGGAUUAGCUAGUAGGUGGGGUAAAGGCUCACAUAGCCGACGAUCCCUAGCUGGUCUGUGAGGAUGACCAGCCACACUGGAACUGAAACACGGUCCAGACUCCUACGGACGGCAGUGGUGGGGAAUAUUGCACAAUGGGCGAAAUCCUGUUGCAGCCAUGCCGCGUGUAUGAUGAAGUCCUUCGGGUUUUAAAGUACUUUCAGCGGGGAGGCGUUACCCGCAGAAGAAGCACCGGCUAACUCCGUGCCAGCAGCCGCGGUAAUAC